GCUCUGCUCCCCCCGCCCCGGCCACAGCCCACAGACCCUGGCACAGCCGUCCCUCCCGUGACGCCGUCUCCUCGCCCCGCUGCCUGCUGUAAACUGUAAACUCAGCGGGCAUCGGCCCCCUCCCCGCUCCCCAGCUAAGAAUGCCCGUUCACUUCAGCUGCCUACCUCGACACACGGGAUGCACCAGCUAGUCGGGGUCAGCUUCAGCUCAAACUGCCAGGAGAGUUUCUUAAAGCAAA
rnacentral:lncRNA from 1 species